AGUAAGUGUCAAUUCUCAUUGAUCAAUAAAGAAAGGCAAGGAUUACCAUUUAUUAGAUCACAGCCGUCUAUCUCAUCUCCUUUUACGUUAUUCUUCUCUUUUUUAAUAGCAAUCCUAGUGAUUCUUUCUAUUGGCUAAUACAAGAAAAUGGGGAUAACCUUUCUUUUAAUUUUAGCCGUUGAUGAAUUUAAUCUAAAGGACAUAAACAUUUGUUUUUUUAAUUGGUUCUCUCUCUCUCUCUCCUCCUCUCAUCUUCUACCGUCGUAAAACUGGAAAAAAAAACAAGGCUCCAUCUUUUCUUCUUCUCUGGAAUAAACUCUAAUAAACCAAGGAAAUCUCCAUCUUUUACGCAGGACUCCACUUCUCACCUCGUUCGUUCAUGUCUCGAGCCCAAGAGAAUCUCCAAUCAAAACAGAAUAAUGCAGUGGCCAUAGUCGUUGUCACCUAUCUCCACCUUCACCUUCUCUCAAUCAGAAACUCGUCACCUCUCUCUCUCUCUUUUGAUUCUGAUUUCGCCUCUUUUUUUUUGGUAAAGGAUUUGUCAUGAAAGUUGAAUCUUUUUCGGUUUUGUGUAUAGAAAAGUAGGUUUCAGGAAGAGGACGGCGGUUUGAGACAGGAAGGCGACGACUGUUUUGGUGUCUCUACUUCUGUAGAUCCGUAAAACCUAGAGUUUAAGGAAAGUUUGCGACAGGGACAGUAGAUGGAGUUUGAGUCGAGCAAGAUAGAAGAGAGGAGAUGGAGUUGGUAUAGAGGCGAGGUAAGAGAGACAGAUAAGAAUUUCUGAUGGUGGUGGAAGAGCACAGAUUGAUUGAGUUGGUUGACGUCGGCGAAGAGUUUGGUGCAGAGAUAGGGUUAAUUAUUUUUAAGGUUAAACCGGUUUAGUUUUUUAGAUUUCCAAACCAAGUUCACGUGUAAACCUUAGGUUAAUUAUGGUUUGGUUUAAUGUUUGUAAUUAGUUUUUUGGUUUAAUGUAUUCUUUAAUUAUUUGUAUACUGAUUUUAAUCAAUAAAUAAAAAUUAAUUUUU